UACGUAGGGGGCAAGCGUUAUUCGGAAUUACUGGGCGUAAAGGGCGCGUAGGCGGCUUUGCAAGUCACGGGUGAAAUCCCUGGGCUUAACCGAGGAACUGCAUGUGAGACUGCAUGGCUAGAGUCCAGGAGAGGUGAGUGGAAUUCCCAGUGUAGCGGUGAAAUGCGUAGAUAUGUGGAGGAACACCGAUGGCGAAGGCAGCCCCCUGGGCCGGCACUGACGCUCAUGCACGAAAGCGUGGGGAGCAAACAGG
rnacentral:rRNA from 1 species